rnacentral:lncRNA from 1 species
UUGCCUACUGCACCUGCGGGCAUGAAACAUAGGCCCCGUGAAAUAGGGCGUCAGUAAGAAAAAUGUACUGAGUAUGUAAGGCAUGAAAAUUAGUACGUAAAAUACAUAGAUGAAACAUGGAAGAAGGAAACACAUUUUUAAAUCUGAAUAACUUUGUAAAUUCUGAAACGUUUAUAAUGUCAUGCUCGUGCGUAUAAAUGUUGUUCCAUGCAUAAUUAUGGGUGUAUAUAAAAUUAUCAAGCCACUGAGGGCAUCCCAUCAUAUCAUCUCGGCCACUGUGGGCAACAUCAUCAACAUAUAUCAGCUGAUCAGGUGGUGAUGCGUAUAUAACGCCGUAACCUUUUUCCAUAUCCCAUAUACAUAUAUUUACAUAUAUAUGCAUGUAUAACGUCAUCUGGUCAUGGGUCAAUGCACAUGUAUAAUUGAGUGAAAUGCAUGAAAAGUACGUAAUAAUCUCAAUAUUCCUUCUGGAUAAACUUUUUCAACUGUGUAUUAUUUUGAGACCCAUGAACAGAAGAUAAUAAUAUUUUUCAUGAGAAAUCAAAAAUAUAGACACCCCUACUAUAUCUAUGAAUAGAGUAAUUUAUGGAAACUGUGUGUUUGCUCGUUUCUUCUGUAUAAUUUGGACUAUGCCAAAAGAAGGAAGGGAGGGCCUUAACAUACCUGUUCCUGGAAUUUUUUGAACGGAAUGAAGCUUCUGCUUCCGUGAAAUAUAUUUAACGAAAUUCUGCCUAAAUCCUUUGAAAUUUUGAAAUGAAUUGUGGUGGCUUCUUUUGAAAUUUCAGUCGAAAAUUUUUGGCUAAGAAAUUGAAUUGUUUGGACGAAAUGUUUGUUGUUUUCUAAGUUUUUG